rnacentral:rRNA from 1 species
CCUACGGGAGGCAGCAGUGAGGAAUAUUGGUCAAUGGACGAAAGUCUGAACCAGCCAUGCCGCGUGCAGGAAGACGGCUCUAUGAGUUGUAAACUGCUUUUGUACAAGAGUAAACCUAAAUACGUGUAUUCCGCUGAAAGUACUGUACGAAUAAGGAUCGGAUAACUCCGUGCCAGCAGCCGCGGUAAUACGGAGGAUCCACGGGUUAUCCGGAUUUAUUGGGUGUAAAGGGUGCGUAGGCGGAUUGAUAAGUUAGAGGUGAAAUGUACGGGCUCAACUCGGGAACUGCCUCUAAUACUGUUGAUCUAGAGAGUAGAUGCGGUAGGCGGAAGGUAUGGUGUAGGGGGGAAAUGCUUAGAGAUCAUACAGAACACCGAUUGCGAAGGCAGCUUACCAAGCUAUAUCUGACGUUGAGGCACGAAAGCGUGGGGAGCAAACAGGAUUAGAUACCCCAGUAGUC